CCUGUUUUUAUUUUAAUUUUGUAUUAUUAUUAUUUUAAUUAAAAAGACAUGAAUAUACAUGAAAAGGUAAAAACAGUGUGAUUAAAAAAAAACACAAAUCAAUUAAAAAAAGUGUCAUACCAAACUUUAUAUAAAGUUUGCACAGACUAAGCCAGAGCGUGCGUGCAUGUCACAACAGGGAAGCCCUCGCGCCCUCAGAUCAGUUGGAUGUGGUUAUGUACAAGAGGUAAAAAUUAUAAAAUACUGUUCGUUUUUAUUUACACAAACCGCUCGUUUCGUGUCUUAGGUCAUCAAUGUGUACUUAUGAUGUGGAAUUGUUUCAUUUGGACUCCUCUGUGCAUGCUCUUUCAGGUGGUGACCACCUAAAAAUAUCAAAAUGGGAAAUACUGCGGAAACAAAGAAACCUACAUCUUGGAUGUCAUUGAGAUAAGCUAAAGCAUACCAACAUUUAAUUUGAAAGUGAACUAUCCCUUUAAAGGACAAAUAUCCCCCCCAAAAACAUAUUUCUUUUUUGUGUAAGUACACAUGAUUGAUUAUGUAGUCUCAAAAUAGUGUUGUAUGAAAUGGUAACCUCGUGAUUUGUUUGAGAUGCUAUUUAUUCUUCAUGGUUUAGCAUAUAUUUUCCUGGUUGUGCGUCCUCAGUAUGGCAUUCUAACUAUAGUAAAGGGUGACAUCAUACAUUAGCUCAAUACUGUCUAUAUAAACUAGUAACUCUGUUGUUUGAAUAUAAGUAAACCAAAGGACACCUGGGAAAUGCCAUGAGAUUAAUCCAAAAAACUCUCUAAAAUUACAGCGAACACAAUCACUUGUAAUUAAAAGUCUUGAUGUGUAGUGAUAAGCUAAAUGUGCUUCGUUUUAAAAAAAAACUGAAGCACAGUUGCUUUUGGUAAACUGAACAAUGUAAAGCCUAUUUCUUACCUUUAGAUGGAGACACUGCACACGUCCUGCUCAGUCACAGUCUCAAGCAGAUUAUCAAUGCUGUCAUUUCCUUUAGAAAUCUCACAGAAAAACGUAAGUAGACAUACAGAUAAAUAUGCAUUUAACUAGCAAAUCUCUAAAGGGUGAUUCAAUAUCGAUUCAUAUUGAAUGAACAAUAAUUAUUGUCUUUUAUCUUUUGAUAUAGUUUUUGAAGGACCAGCUUUUUUGAAAGUGAAAAGGCUCAAAGUUCUAGUUUUCAUAAAAUAAAAUGAUGCUGUUUUUCCACAGCCUGAUCUGAAUUUAAAAUAGCAACUUCAUAUUACAGGCUACAGCACACAACAAAGUCGCUAGCCUAAAACUCCUCAAUAACUUAUUCCACAGGUGCGUAGUUAAUUUAGCAAUCUGAAAGAGGAGCUCCAAACGAGAUGAUGUAUAAAAAAUACAUAUUGAAGUGUCAAUGGCAUGUUUGCCACCAGAGACCAUUCAUGAGACUCCUUGUUAAUAUGAUCUCUAAUUAAUCAUUGUCAGUUAUUUUUCAUCAUAUUUUAUUCUCACACUUUACUUUUUGCCUUUUCGUUCUUUCUUUGCUUUUUGGUCCUUGGAUACUGCAUUCUGACCUGUUCUUACCACAUUCAGUCAUACAUUUUUGUGGCCUUUGGACUAGAAGAAAUGUAGCCAUAUGAAAGUAAUGUGAAAGUAUGAUACUCAGUUUAUUAAAGACACAUCUUCUGAAUCAUCCAAGAAUAAUUAGCUUAUUAAAAAGGACCCAUAAAGAAUAUACCAGGCACACCUUUGAUGAAAUUGUUAGGGAAAUCUGUCAUUGUCAGGCUAGGAAUUAUCUGUAAAAUCAUAGGCCUACAUAGCUGGGGCUCUGAUUAGAUCAUCUGCCAGCAAGAUAACUUUCUGCAGCUAACCAGUCAAAACUCUGUAGUGUAAUAACCUAGAUAGUUAUAAAACUGCAUCUACAAAAUCUUGUAGCCUACAUUAUUCUAACAAGGAAAAAAAAACAUAAUUAGCUCAAAUCAAAUUCACUGGCACAACUUUUGCAGAUGUGAGGUCUUGAAAACAGUGUUUUGAAUUGAUUGCGACAGGACCAGUUCACCUGUCCAGUGUGUCUGGAUCUACUGAAGAAUCAGUGAUCAUUCCCUGUGGACAGAGUCACUGUAUGAGCUGUAUUACAGACCGCUGCCCUCAGUGCAGACAGAUCUUCAGUCCAAGACCUGCUUUAGGCAAAAGCACCAUCUUGGGUGAAAUGGUAGAGAAACUGAAGAAGACUUGUGGGAAAGUUGUGGCUUAGUGGUAAGAGAAUUUGACUCCUAACCCUAAGGUUGUGGGUUCAAGUCUCAGGCCGAUAAUACCACGACUGAGGUGCCCUUGAACAAGGCACUGAACACCCAAGUGCUCCCUUGGCGCCGCAGCAUAAAUGGCUGCCCACUGCUCCGGGUGUGUGUUCACUGCUGUGUGUGUGCACUUUGGACGGGUUAAAUGCAGAGCACAAAUUGUGAGUAUGGGUCACCAUACUUGGCUGUAUGUCACGUCACUAAAUUACAAGCUGCUGAUGCUGGAGAUGUGGAGUGUGACGUCUGCACUUGAAGAAAACACAAAUCUGUUAAGUCCUGUCUGGAAUCUUAUUGUCAGACUCAUUUUGAUCGUCAUGAAGAAUUUUGCUCAGGUAACCCACACAAAGUGAUUGAUGCAACUGGACAACUGCAGCAGAUGUUCUGUCCUCAACAUCAUAAGCAACUGGACAUAAUGAACAUAAAAACCAUGACACCAUAACAGGUAUUCAAGGAGACAGGUAUUACUAAAUAUGAUUAUUACUAUUGACAUUAAAUUAGUUAAUUAAAUGGGCAGUUUUUAAAUGGAUUGAAUCUUUUGUUGAGGCAUUUGGAAGCAAAGCUACUGUAGCAUCUUUCUAACUGUAAUUGGGUGUGCAUAUGACUGUACUGAUUGAAAAAAAAAUCACUAUUCUUAACAUUACAUAGUUUCUUUAUGUAAAAUAACAUUUACUAGCUUGACUGUUAUUUUUAUUUUUUACUGUUAUUUUAUUCAUUUUUUCCACAGAAAAACCUGGAGCAAAAACAAUAAACUUACAGCAAAAAAAUCCAGAUGAUCAAGGCAGAUCUUCAGCAGCUGAGAGAAGAAGUGAAGACUCAUAAGGUGAGUUAGCUACUUGUAGAAACAUCUCAUGGUUUGGAGCCAUAACCUUGUGGACAGUGAUCUAACAUAGUACAACAGUUUAAGCCUUGGCUUGUGGUCCUUUUUCCAAUCCCACUCCCCUAUUGCUGUCACUCCCCUAAUGUCCUCUCAACAUAAGAAGAUGAAAAAAAAAGUUAAAAAAGAAAUAUAACUGGUCAGUUAAGACUCUCUUCCAAUCAGUGAGGAUCCCAGUUCACUUCCAGUCCCACCGAAGCUUGCAGCACGCUGCACAGAAGGCAGUAGAGGAACUUUACUGAACCGAUGCGUCUAAUGGAGAGAAGCCGAUCUGAGGUCACACAGCUGAUCAGAGAUCAUGAAAAAGCUGCAGUGAGCCAAGCUGAAGAAAACAUGAAGGAAUUGGUGCAGGAGAUUGAUGAUCUGAAGAGGAGAGACACUGAACUGGAGAAGCUUUCGCACACAGAGGAUCUCAUCGAUUCCCUGCUGAGUUUCCGUGGGGGGCCUGUAAUACCACCUUUGUAUUUGUGUGAAUUCUCUUCUCAUCUCUUCUCUUCCCUUAUGAUGAUAUAAUUAAAGCAGUUUCUUUGCUAAAAGAAAAACUCGAAGGUUUCUACAAAGAGGAGAUAGUAAAGAUAGAAAAGCUUUCUGGUACAGGUAAAACACUGGAGCCAGAGCCUCAAUCGACGUCAGUCCAGGUGGGUGAGCCAACUGUUAGACACACGGUGGUCAAAGUGUCAGUAGUGAGCAAGGGCACAAAGAAAUGCCCCACCCACUGCACCACCACUGAGGGUGAGCUGAAGCAGGACUUGGGAGAUUUAAUACUUUUAUCCUGAGGUUUUUCUGUCAUCUGAUGUCUGCCCUGUCAUGACCAUGGAGGUUACAUUUACAUUUACAUUACAUUUACAUUACAUACAGGUUGUGAGUGAACUGUCUGUGUAUAUUGAAGACAAUAUGUCUCUCAUUAGCAACCCUACUUAAUCAAAUCUGUUCAUUCUGUCUUUGUCCGGCAUUCUGUGUCUGUUCGUUCGUUCGUGAUUCCGCCCUCUCUGGAGAUAACCUGUCAUGGAAUUUAUUAAAGUGUGUUUUAAAACUUA